rnacentral:rRNA from 1 species
AGAGUGUUGAUCCUGGCUCAGGACGAACGCUGCCCUUUGAAGAUUAACACAUGCAAGUCGAGCGGAAAGGCCCUUCGGGGUACUCGAGCGGCGAACGGGUGAGUAACACGUGAGCAACCUGCCCCAGGCUUUGGGAUAACCCCGGGAAACCGGGGCUAAUACCGAAUAUGACCUCCGAUCGCAUGGUCGGUGGUGGAAAGUUUUUCGGCUUGGGAUGGGCUCGCGGCCUAUCAGCUUGUUGGUGGGGUGAUGGCCUACCAAGGCGACGACGGGUAGCCGGCCUGAGAGGGCGACCGGCCACACUGGGACUGAGACACGGCCCAGACUCCUACGGGAGGCAGCUUUUUUUAAUAUUGCACAAUGGGCGGAAGCCUGAUGCAGCGACGCCGCGUGAGGGAUGACGGCCUUCGGGUUGUAAACCUCUUUCAGCAGGGACGAAGCGUAAGUGACGGUACCUGCAGAAGAAGCGCCGGCCAACUACGUGCCAGCAGCCGCGG